UGCGUAGGCGGGCUAAUUAGUCAGUGGUGAAAACCCGCAGCUUAACUGUAGACUUGCCAUUGAUACUGUUAGUCUUGAGUACGGUCAAGGUAGGCGGAAUGUGUAAUGUAGCGGUGAAAUGCUUAGAUAUUACACAGAACACCGAUUGCGAAGGCAGCUUACUGGGCCAUUACUGACGCUGAGGCACGAAAGCGUGGGGAGCGAACAGGAUUAGAUACCCUGGUAGUCC
rnacentral:rRNA from 1 species